rnacentral:rRNA from 1 species
UGGGGAAUUUUGGACAAUGGGGGCAACCCUGAUCCAGCAAUGCCGCGUGAGUGAAGAAGGCCUUCGGGUUGUAAAGCUCUUUUGUCAGGGAAGAAACACCGGCUCUAACACAGUCCGGGAAUGACGGUACCUGAAGAAUAAGCACCGGCUAACUACGUGCCAGCAGCCGCGGUAAUACGUAGGGUGCAAGCGUUAAUCGGAAUUACUGGGCGUAAAGCGUGCGCAGGCGGUUAUACAAGACAGGCGUGAAAUCCCCGGGCUUAACCUGGGAAUGGCGCCUGUGACUGUAUAGCUAGAGUGUGUCAGAGGGGGGUAGAAUUCCACGUGUAGCAGUGAAAUGCGUAGAUAUGUGGAGGAAUACCAAUGGCGAAGGCAGCCCCCUGGGAUAACACUGACGCUCAUGCACGAAAGCGUGGGGAGCAAACAGG